rnacentral:rRNA from 1 species
UACGUAGGGUGCAAGCGUUAAUCGGAAUUACUGGGCGUAAAGCGUGCGCCGGCGGCUAUGCAAGACAGAUGUGAAAUCCCCGGGCUCAACCUGGGAAUGGCAUUUGUGACUGGAAGGCUAGAGUGUGUCAGAGGGGGGUAGAAUUCCACGUGUAGCAGUGAAAUGCGUAGAGAUGUGGAGGAAUACCGAUGGCGAAGGCAGCCCCCUGGGAUAACACUGACGCUCAUGCACGAAAGCGUGGGGAGCAAACAGG